GACGAACGCUGGCGGCGUGCUUAACACAUGCAAGUCGAACGAAGUGGCGAACGGGUGAGUAACGCGUAAUCAACCUGCCCUUCAGAGGGGGACAACAGGUGGAAACGACUGCUACUACCGCAUACUGUAGGAGGGGAGUGCGUCUGAGUGGCUAGUUGGGGGGGUAACGGGCCACCAAGGCGGAGAUCAGUAGGCGGGUUGGGAGGAGGAACGGGCAAAUCGGGAAUGAGACAAGGGCCAGACUCCUACGGGGGGCAGCAGGGGGGAAUCUUCCGAAAUGGACGAAAGUCUGAAGGAGCAAAGCCGCGUGAGUGAUGACGGCCUUCGGGUUGUAAAGCUCUGUUAAUCGGGACGCGGUACCGGAAUAGAAAGCCACGGCUAACUACGUGCCAGCAGCCGCGGUAAUAC
rnacentral:rRNA from 1 species